rnacentral:lncRNA from 1 species
UGACUCUUCACUUGUUCUAAUCUCCCACUAAUAGUUGUCACUUCUCCCCUUAUGGCUCCCACUUUCGUACUCAACCUUUCAAGAGCUCGGGUCAUAGCCUCAAGAGUGACCCUCAUAUUCUCCAUUUCAUUAGAAUCCACGGUUUGAGACGUGGUUCCCUCCAUUAUCAAGGUAUCACCUACACAAGCAACAAAUAAGUUAGUUUAAAAUCCCUCUCCUCACUCACACUCUCUUAGUUCACUCACACUCAAGUUCCACAAGAGUUGUAGAUUGGCUAGGAACCCGUGAAUCCGUAAGGUAUGAGUAUGCUCUUGCCCGGAAUGGAUUCUUGUUUGAAACUCAAAGAAUUCUCGUCGGACUAGAGCCAAUAGUUACAACGUAUUCAAAUAACAAAAGCACACAAACAAACGUUGACACGAACACAAG